GAUGAACGCUGGCGGCGUGCCUAAUACAUGCAAGUCGAGCGAAGCGGGGACGGGUGAGUAACACGUGGAUAACCUCCUAUAAGACUGGGAUAACUUCGGGAAACCGGAGCUAAACCGGUUACUUACAGUUGGAUCCGCGCUGCAUUAGUUAGUUGGGAAGGUAACGGCUUACCAAGGCAACGAUGCAUAGCCGACCUGAAUGAGGGAUAGGCAACACUGGAACUGAAAAAGGGUCCAGACUCCUACGGGAGGCAGAAGUAGGGAAUCAACGGAAAAGAGCGAAAGCCUGACGGAGCAAAGCCGCGUGAGUAAUGAAGGUCGUCGGAUCGUAAAACGCUGUUAUUAGGGAAGCGGUACCGAAUCAGAAAGCCACGGCUAACUACGUGCCAGCCGCCGCGGUAAUUC
rnacentral:rRNA from 1 species